GCGAACUAGUGUAUAUCAAGUGACAAGGGAAAAAACAUAUUUUUGCUAGACACCUAUUGCAAACGUAAGCAUAUGAUUGUCUUUAUAAUAAGCACCUAGCGUAUAACCAAUUGAUAAGAAAAAAAACAUUUCUUUGCUAAGCAUCGUCAUCUCUAAACAAAUUUCAUUGUACAUACCGAAGGAGGUCAUGUUAAAAGAACGGUACAAGUAUCCAUAUAUCCUCC
rnacentral:lncRNA from 1 species